rnacentral:rRNA from 1 species
UACGUAGGGUGCAAGCGUUGUCCGGAAUUAUUGGGCGUAAAGGGCUCGUAGGCGGUCCAUCGCGUCGGGAGUGAAAAGCUGGGGCUUAACCCCAGUCCUGCUUCCGAUACGGGUGGACUAGAGGUAGGUAGGGGAGAUCGGAAUUCCUAGUGUAGCGGUGAAAUGCGCAGAUAUUAGGAGGAACACCGGUGGCGAAGGCGGGUCUCUGGGCCGAUACUGACGCUGAGGAGCGAAAGCGUGGGGAGCGAACAGG